rnacentral:rRNA from 1 species
AGCAGCCGCGGUAAUUCCAGCUCCAAUAGCGUAUAUUAAAGUUGUUGCAGUUAAAAAGCUCGUAGUUGAAUUUCGGGAUCAGUGGGUCGGUCGUGCCACUGGUAUGUACUGGCCCUACUGGUUCCUCCUUCUUGAAGAACUGUAAUGCCAUUAAUUUGGUGUUGCAGGGAAACAGGACUGUUACUUUGAAAAAAUUAGAGUGUUUAAAGCAGGCAAUCGCUUGAAUACAUUAGCAUGGAAUAAUGAAAUAGGACGUUCGAUCCUAUUUUGUUGGUUUCUAGGAUUGACGUAAUGAUUAAUAGGGAUAGUUGGGGGCAUUAGUAUUCAAUUGUCAGAGGUGAAAUUCUUGGAUUUAUUGAAGACUAACUACUGCGAAAGCAUUUGCCAAGGAUGUUUUCAUUAAUCAAGAACGAAAGUUAGGGGAUCGAAGACGAUCAGAUACCGUCGUAGUCUUAACCAUAAACUAUGCCGACUGGGGAUCGGAUGAUGUUAAUUUUUAAUGACUCAUUCGGCGCCUUAA